rnacentral:ncRNA from 1 species
UAUUUUGUAUUGCUUAAUUUUCCCACGCUGGUUCAGGUGUACGGCUACUUCACGCCCUUUUAGUGACUCUGGAUAAUUGUCAGGACGAUCACACAGCUAGAAUCGACUAGCCCUCGCACGACGGGUCCUCCGCGAAUCCGCCCAACAACUGAUGACGGUCCGGUAAGUGCCGAUCGUUGUGGUAACGGGUAACGGGGAAUCAGGGUUCCAUUCCGAAGAUGAAGCAUGCAAAACGGCUAAGGAAAGCAGCAGGAGCGCAAAUUGUCCUCUCUCGGUACGGGGAAGCAUGACGAAAAAUAACGACGCGGAACUCUGUCGAGGCCCCGCGAACGGAAUGAUUACAAUUUGCUUAUCAUCAGUCGCUAUAAUCACCAGGCUUAGAGACAUUCUAAGAUA